GCGGCUCCUCCCCCUGGCUCCGCGCCGGCUCCGGGGCCCGGGCGCGGCGGGAGCAAGCGAGCGAAUGGUCCUCUUUCCGGCUCCUCUCUCCGUCGUCCGCACUGGGCCGGGCGGCGACGCCGGAGCGGUUUCCUCCCGAGCCGGUGCGGGCGAGCGGCGGGAGAGGAGGAGCAGCAAGCCGGGCGGAGUCGCUUGAGGACUCCGCGCACCGCGCUUCAGCCAAUCAACGCUCCCAACUGGAGGUUACGUAGAUCUCCCCGCCCCAAGGGGCCGCCCCUCUCCGAGAAGCCACGCCCAACUGCUAGCCAGCCACCCACCUCCUGGCGGCUUCUGCGCGGUCCUAAAGAUCCCUGUGUUCGCCGCGGGCGGAGGAUUCGGGUGUGAGCGGCGUGUGGCGGCGAGCCACGGCGGGAUGGUGGGCGCCCCGGAGCGGGAUCCCGGCUUUGAAGCGAGCGCGCUCAUCCAAGGGAAGCUCCUCGGUGCUUCUAGCCUCGCCGACUUCCUGAAGCUCUGCGUGGGACCCUUCCCACCAAAACUCUCACAGCGGCUUGUGCUGUUUGCUCCCGUCCUCGGGAAUCAGGGGACGGGGUCGAGAUGCAGGUUUGGGGCCUGACACCCAUCUCCGGCAGGUCGCCGCGCCCCGGGCGCAGAUGGACCGGCCGGAGCCAGCCAGUGCGACCCAGAGAACGCUACCGGUCCCGGACCCAGAGGUGACGCCGGGUGGGCGCCCUGGCCUAACGGUUGCCUCCGGUCUGUAACGCUCUUUGAAAAUUAGUCCCAACGACGGUUUAGGAAAAGCACCCCAAAGCUUCCAUCUUUGGAGAAUCAUUUUAUUUGCUAAAUACGGUUUCGAUGCCUAACACUUAAAUUUUGAAUGCCUUUGUCGGUGCCCGAAAGGUGUUUCCUAAGCUGCCACCUUGACAGGCUUCACAUUUUUUAGUUUUGUGAUACUUUAAGAUUUGAAGACCGCCAACAUGUCUCUCUGGCACUGUUGCUACUUUAGUAAUAUAAUCCAGAUCUUUAAAACGCAGCCGGAUGUUUAGACAAUUAACAUGAAAGGUGUGUGUGUGUUUUAAUUCUUCAUGUUUUUAAAUUAAGCGCUACUACAAAAAAGAGUAUGUAAAAACAUAAGAAUCAUUUUGUAACUCUUUCCCAAAGUGUUGGGACAUCUGUUGGGAGAACCUAUGAAGCAUCCUUUUUAUCUAUCUCACAACUUCAUGCCCUCAGAAGCUGAUUUUUGUAAAUCAGUAAGGCUGAAUUGAAGCCUAAAUGAGUUUCAGCGAUAAGACAGGAUGAGAGAAUUAUUUUCACCACGAUUGAGAUUGGCAAAAUAUGAAGGCCAUUUUUCCCCCAUGUAAUUUCUAUCGCCUUAUAUUCUUUGAGUAUAAUUUAGGAAUGUUACAACAAUUAGGAGAAAGUUUUAUGAGGACUUUUAUUAACAAAAGUUCAAGAACCUGGCCAGAUCUUGCCCUGGAAUCCUCUGCUCCUGUCUCAUAUCCUAUUCCCACGUUUCUAAACCUUAGGGUAAAGUACUUUAAAAAAAAAAAACCGUUUGCCACCGAGUUGAUUCCAAGUCAUAGCAACCCCACAGGACAGAGUAGAACUACCCCAUAGAGUUUCCAAGGAGCACCUGGUGGAUUCCAACUGCUGACCUUUUAGUUAGCAGCGGUAGCACUUAACCACACCACUAGUGUUUCCAAAGUACUUUUGGCAACCAAUAAUACUAUUAACCUUGCUAGAUAUUUCCAGGUCCAUAGUGAGUCACCUGUCUAGAUAUUGAUAUCUUGUAUAGGGAGCAAAUGCUUUACCUCCGAGUUGAUUUUUACAUGUGAUCCAGGCAAAAGGUCAUUACAUUUUCCUUGGCUACGAGAAGCCAUUUUGUAUAAACUCUCCACAAUACUUGAUCUAUAAAUUUUACAUCAGAAUUCAGAUUUGUAACCAAUAAUAACUGUUUUGGUCCUAACUUUGGCCAACAUUAGAAAAUGUAGUGAUAAACUUAUACAUGUAAGUGACAUGUACUAUGAUUUAGUAAUGAUUCUGGUUAUCAUCCAUCAGCUGGACAGUUUGCUCUUCAUACCCUGAUGCGCUAGAGAGAAAAACACAUUCAGUAAGAGUGAUGUGCUCCUUCACUGCUUUUCAGGGAGGGGCCCAGAUGAAAAUUCCAGAGUGUUUUUAGGCGGGAAAAACUACCCAGAUGAUUCUAAUAAUGAUAUCCUAGGAAGAGGUCCCUCCCUGCUCUAGACUCUAGUAUUGUACAUAUUCCCUGUAUAAUCAACUCAGAUGGGCCAUAUGGUGUUACUGUCAUAAUGAUAAGUGUGUAGUUUGUACCCAAGUCUUUCAGAGUGAUGUAUUGCAUAAAAGACAUCUUUAAGUA